rnacentral:lncRNA from 1 species
UUUGUCUUCAACUUAUAUCAAAUCCGGAACCUGAAGGAUCUGGAGAUGGGUCCACCCUUCACCAUCAGUGGUCACAUCAGCAGCACAGAUGGUGGCUACAUGAAGUUCUCCAACGGGCUAGUCUGAUGCAGAGACAGCAACUUGUGAAGCCCUGGGGAGGUGGCCACAUUUCCUCCAUUUGUGCUGUUCCUCAACCAGGCUGAACCCUCUGCCAACAAAGUUAUGUUCCAUAGGUCUUUAGUAACUCCUAAAACUGGAGCGUGCUGGAGGAGGUCAGUGACUACUUGCCGAGUAGAGAAGAGACACCCAAUGUAGCCACAGAAGGCUGCUUUGUCCUAGAAAAUUGAUCAAAAUCAUGAUGAGGCUGGG